GACAAGGAGAGAGUUGUCAAAUCGUCGGAGGCUGUCAGAGUCGUCGUGGGGCUGUCAAAUCACCGUGGUGCUGUCAAAUUACUAGGGUUGACCCAUGUCCAGGGUAGGACGAUGUCCCAGGGCGGUUAUGCCGCAUACCUCUGUCAGGAUGGGCGACCUCCAGCAAUCGUACGGCGUUUGGAGGAGCCGACCGACCAUACAUCGAUGUUUGGUUGUAGGAUGUCGGGUGAAGAUCCAGGGACACUGUCGGCUAGAGCGGUGCAUCGCG
rnacentral:lncRNA from 1 species